rnacentral:rRNA from 1 species
GGCGAGCGCUGGCGGCGUGCCUAAUACAUGCAAGUUGAGCGCUGAAGGUUGGUACUUGUACCAACUGGAUGAGCAGCGAACGGGUGAGUAACGCGUGGGGAAUCUGCCUUUGAGCGGGGGACAACAUUUGGAAACGAAUGCUAAUACCGCAUAAAAACUUUAAACACAAGUUUUAAGUUUGAAAGAUGCAAUUGCAUCACUCAAAGAUGAUCCCGCGUUGUAUUAGCUAGUUGGUGAGGUAAAGGCUCACCAAGGCGAUGAUACAUAGCCGACCUGAGAGGGUGAUCGGCCACAUUGGGACUGAGACACGGCCCAAACUCCUACGGGAGGCAGCAGUAGGGAAUCUUCGGCGAUGGACGAAAGUCUGACCGAGCAACGCCGCGUGAGUGAAGAAGGUUUUCGGAUCGUAAAACUCUGUUGGUAGAGAAGAACGUUGGUGAGAGUGGAAAGCUCAUCAAGUGACGGUAACUACCCAGAAAGGGACGGCUAACUACG